rnacentral:sRNA from 1 species
AAUAGCAGUGUCGGCCGCAGCAGUGGCCGCCAAAGACAAGGCAGCAGCGGCAGCCGUGGCUGUAAAGGAGAAGGCAUCGCCAUCGGCAGCUCCUCGAAAGCAGGAAGAACAGUAGACCAUUCUUUUAUACUUUGAGUACUAAUAAGUGAUAAAUUGUAGAGUUCUAAGAACAACCUGCUCAGGAAAUGGAGAAUUGGUUGACUUUAUAGUACAAUUUUCUGAUAGAGGGAGUUAUGAGCGCCAGCAUAAAGCCAAAAGGGCACAUCAGCAAUUUCGUUUGAAAACACUGCUCUCCCCCUCCACAGCAAGUCAGAAAAAACAAAAAACAGAUGGUCAUUUCGAACAGAAAACAUGGCAAGCGGGGGAGAGCAGCAGAUAACCGGUUGGGCCCAUUCAAAAAUUGAUAUCCCCAGCCGGUUGGACGAGAAGUUUUUGUCAUUUAAGCCGACUGUGACCUCUAGGCCCAGUCGUUUGUCCCCAGUACCCAGUCCCCAGUCCCCUUGGGCGCGAAUUAGUUGAACAGAAUCGAAAGCAAAGCCUGUCUGCAGAUAAGAAUCGUUAAUUAUUCAAAGUAAAUCAAAGCGCUCAUCAAAUGCCAAAGAAUCAAGCAAAGUUUGUAGGCCGGGCCUACCAGUUGUCAUUGGCAGCGGGCUCUCGAAAGGCCAAGUUUUCUGAUAAAAUGCUAAUUUAGUGUUUGUGGUUGGAGAACAUGGCACUCGGACGGGGUGUUUAGUUUAAUAAUAUUUCCGACACCAGUCCAAGCCCUGUUUUUAAGUGGAUUGCAAUUAAAAAUUGGAAUCAAAUUCAAGUUUCUUGGAUAAAUAUUCCCAGAAUACCCCCAUAAAACUUCCCUAACGAAGUCUGCUCUCGUCAUCGAGUCUAUAUUGACUUUUCUAUAGAAACCAGUUCGAUCAUCGCCGUCUAUUGAACUUAAUUAAAAUUAAUUUCCAUUGCCCGACGAUAAUUUGGAGCGUUUUCAAGAGCAAA